rnacentral:tRNA from 1 species
GCGCCCGUAGCUCAGGUGGACAGAGCAACGGCCUUCUAAGCCGUGGGUCGGAGGUUCGAAUCCUCCCGGGCGCACCU